UUCUUUGUUAAUUUUUGGGGAACUUGAUAAAUUGAUCAAACACCUCUUAUGAAAAUUAUUCGUACAUUGGUGUAGGUUCUACUAUAUGUAACUAAGGUGUUUAAUAAUAUGCCUAAAGUAACUAAAACAAGUUUUGUUUCUUUUCCUUUUUCACGCAGGAGUGCUAUGACUUGCACAUCAUACAACAUCCCAAGAGGUAUAUUAUUUAUUACUACUACACAACAUCAGUAAGCAAUAUGUUGUUACUUUAAAGAAUGGCUUUUGACAUAAUUCUCAUUUGCUUUCAUGUACAUUUCGAUUGUAUUAUCGCUGUCUAAUACCUUUGUGUUAACAAAAAAACUUAGCUAUAAAGAAAUGUAAUCCUGAUUCCCAUGUGAUUUUGCAUUGACAAAGUAAUUUUGACAAGACAGGAAGGAGAUAAAGCCUAACUAUCAACGACCCAUGCUUAAUUAGCAGAUGACUUUUCACUUGAUCUUUCUUUUAUUAAUGGAUGUGAGAAUAUUAUUUCUCUAAUUAUAUGAAUGCUAUAAGUGUCUUCUAGAUGUUUUUGUUACUUGAUGUCUAUGCUUUAGGCUUAUAAAUCAUUUUUUGAAUAUUCUGUUGUAACAAUGGAAGCUUGAAGGAAGCAGGAAGAAGUAUCACUGAUGUAUACAUUUUCCGUGUCCUAACCUAUUCUCUGAUGUAUAAUUUUCUCAGGUGAACCAGAGUUGUGGCUAGCUAGAGGGAAGUAAAAAUGUCAAUCUCUUUUACCGGCGAAAUUGAAUGCUGAACUAGAGUAUCAGAACCCAAUUAGCCUUGGCACUUUCUCGCGAAAUCAGGGAUAUGAGGCGGCAAUCAAAUGAAAAUGGCAAGGCAACAAUAAUAUAAAUUACUGUGUGGCCAUAGUGAGGUUGAAUCGAGCUCUUGCAAGAAUGAGUCUCUCCCAAGUUGCAAAUGAGGAUCGCGUCUUGGAAGCAAUUAGGCUCUUCAAAGGUUCCACAAAUGAUGCAGCACGAUCUGGAAUUAAUCAACACAUAAACCUUACUUUUGAGAUGGGAAAUGAGAUAAAGGUUUUGACUUUGUGCAACCAAUACUCACAAAGUUUCCAGCUAUAUGUCCUGUCAGUCACAGUUUUAAUAAAUUUAAUGUUUUAUGGAUGAAUAGUAAGCUGAAGCCCAAAUUAAGAUAAGAAUGGGUAUUGGUAGCCACAUAUCAGAGAGAUGGCUAAUUGAUGAGCUGACCAGGAUAGGCAUGAAUGAAUCAAUUGUAAGAGGAGCACCGAUAUUUAUGCACCAACAAGAUGAAGUGGAAGUACAAACGAGAGUGGAAAGUCAUAGUUCGAAAAGCCUAAUGAUCGUACUACUUUGUAGACUUCUAAGCAAACUUUCAGCAAGUUAAUUCCACAAGGACACUAUGCCCACUCAAUAGUCAAAUCCCAUGUAAUUUGAUGAUCUGAUGCCCUCACCGAAAUCAAGCAGAAAUAUUUAAAUUGCGGAUUUAGUGUUGUGAUACUGCCACACAACACCCAUGUACAUUAGUUUGUAUUGAUUAUUGAACUGAAGUGUCUAAAGGUAGAAAUGCACAUCCAUUCGUGUCAAAUGGUUUGAAUGAUUUUGAGUCAUCAAAUAUAUUUUAUGUGUCUAACCACACCGAAUGCUUAUGUAUUUACACUUUUUCUUAGGAAUUGAAUUUUUAUAUAAUUGUGUUUCAUAGCAAACUUUGUUACAAUGG